rnacentral:rRNA from 1 species
UACGGAGGGUGCAAGCGUUAGUCGGAAUAACUGGACGUAAAGGGUGCGUAGGCGGGGACGUAAGUCAGACGUGAAAUUCCGGGGCUCAACCCCGGAGCUGCAUCUGAAACUGCGUUUCUAGAGGUAUGGCGGAGAAAAUGGAAUUCCACGUGUAGCGGUGAAAUGCGUAGAUAUGUGGAAGAACACCAGUGGCGAAGGCGGUUUUCUAGCUUAUACCUGACGCUGAGGCGCGAAAGCAAGGGGAUCAAACAGG